rnacentral:rRNA from 1 species
UGGCUAAUACCGCAUAACGUCGCAAGACCAAAGAGGGGGACCUUCGGGCCUCUUGCCAUCAGAUGUGCCCAGAUGGGAUUAGCUAGUUGGUGAGGUAACGGCUCACCAAGGCGACGAUCCCUAGCUGGUCUGAGAGGAUGACCAGCCACACUGGAACUGAGACACGGUCCAGACUCCUACGGGAGGCAGCAGUGGGGAAUAUUGCACAAUGGGCGCAAGCCUGAUGCAGCCAUGCCGCGUGUAUGAAGAAGGCCUUCGGGUUGUAAAGUACUUUCAGCGGGGAGGAAGGUGUUGUGGUUAAUAACCGCAGCAAUUGACGUUACCCGCAGAAGAAGCACCGGCUAACUCCGUGCCAGCAGCCGCGGUAAUACGGAGGGUGCAAGCGUUAAUCGGAAUUACUGGGCGUAAAGCGCACGCAGGCGGUCUGUCAAGUCGGAUGUGAAAUCCCCGGGCUCAACCUGGGAACUGCAUUCGAAACUGGCAGGCUUGAGUCUUGUAGAGGGGGGUAGAAUUCCAGGUGUAGCGGUGAAAUGCGUAGAGAUCUGG